UGCCCGGAGAGACCUCGCACGGUCUCCUGCCUACGUACCUCAUCUGGUAUGAGGAUCAGGGCGACGUAGUUCCCCUGAAAGGGAAAGAAAUUCUAGCCAGAAACCAAGGGGAGACACACUACCAGGGAGCUGUACUCGAGCCUAGUGUUAUCAUGCAUCAUUGUCCUAUGUUAUGGUUUCUAUCCUAACUUGCUCAACAGCAAACUAAUCCUAACCAGGAAAAGC
rnacentral:lncRNA from 1 species